rnacentral:rRNA from 1 species
CCUACGGGUGGCAGCAGUGAGGAAUAUUGGUCAAUGGCCGUAAGGCUGAACCAGCCAAGUCGCGUGAAGGAUGAAGGUACUGUGUUUUGUAAACUUCUUUUGUCGGGGAAUAAAGGUAUGGACGUGUGGAUAUUUGCAUGUACCUUAUGAAUAAGCAUCGGCUAACUCCGUGCCAGCAGCCGCGGUAAUACGGAGGAUGCGAGCGUUAUCCGGAUUUAUUGGGUUUAAAGGGUGCGUAGGCUGUUUGUUAAGUAAGCGGUUAAAGUCUGUGGCUUAACCCUCGGCUCGCCGUUGAACCUGGCAGUCUGGAGUGGGAGAGAGGUAUGCGGAAUGCGUGGUGUAGCGGUGAAAUGCAUAGAUAUCGCGCAGAACUCCGAUUGCGAAGGCAGCAUGCCGGGGCAACACUGACGCUGAGGCACGAAAGCGUGGGUAUCGAACAGGAUUAGAUACCCCAGUAGUC